UACAGAGGGUGCAAGCGUUGCUCGGAAUCAUUGGGCGUAAAGGGUAGGUAGGUGGUCUCAUUUGUCUCGGGUGAAAGCCUUGGGCUUAACCCAAGAGGUGCCCGAGAAACGGUGAGACUGGAGUCCUGGAGAGGGUCGUGGAAUUCCCGGUGUAGCGGUGAAAUGCGUAGAGAUCGGGAGGAACACCAGAGGCGAAGGCGGCGACCUGGACAGGUACUGACACUCAACUACGAAAGCGUGGGGAGCAAACAGG
rnacentral:rRNA from 1 species